rnacentral:rRNA from 1 species
AUUGAACGCUGGCGGCGCGCUUAACACAUGCAAGUCGUGCGGUACCGAUGGCAAGUCUUCUUGACGAGCCUUCGGUAUAGCGGCGGACGGGUGAGUAACACGUGAGUAGCUGUCCUAGGGAGGGGGAUAACGCCUGGAAACGGGUGCUAAAACCCCAUAAGCCUCGAAAGAGGUAAAAGUGCAUCACUGCAGUCCUAGGGUGUGCUCGCGGCCUAUCAGCUAGUUGGUGAGGUAAGGGCUCACCAAGGCCAAGACGGGUAGCCGGCCUGAGAGGGUGUACGGCCACACUGGAAUUGAGAUACGGCCCAGACUCCUACGGGAGGCAGCAGUUGGGAAUCUUAGGCAAUGGACGAAAGUCUGACCUAGCGACGCCGCGUGAGGGAAGAAGGCCUUCGGUUGUAACUCUGUCAUGGGGAAGAAGUAAGUGACGGUACCCAAGAGGAAGCCCUGCUAACUACGUG